rnacentral:rRNA from 1 species
GAGUUUGAUCGUGGCUCAGGAUGAACGCUGGCGGCGUGCUUAACACAUGCAAGUCGAACGAUGAUCCCAGCUUGCUGGGGGAUUAGUGGCGAACGGGUGAGUAACACGUGAGUAACCUGCCCUUGACUCUGGGGAUAAGCCUGGGAAACUGGGUCUAAUACCGGAUAUGACCUUCCAUCGCAUGGUGGUUGGUGGAGAGCUUUUGUGGCUUUGGAUGGACUCGCGGCCUAUCAGCUUGUUGGUGAGGUAAUGGCUUACCAAGGCGACGACGGGUAGCCGGCCUGAGAGGGUGACCGGCCACACUGGGACUGAGACACGGCCCAGACUCCUACGGGAGGCAGCAGUGGGGAAGUAUUGCACAAUGGGCGGCAAGCCUGAUGCAGCGACGCCGCGUGAGGGAU